UGCACAUGUGUUUAUGCAUGUGGGUCUACAUGUAUGUAGAUAAAGGCUCAAGGGACCCAUGCUUCAGUUCUGGUCCAGUGGGGCCAUUUGCUGCCUGUGUGAACUUGGGCCAGCGACAUUACCUUUCUGAGCCACCCAUGCCCCUUCCACUUCUGCAAA